AAAUUCUGCUGUAAAGAAGCUGUAGCAAGACAAUAGCGUCAUUAUUCAGCUCCCGUCAGUUCAGUUCAUGGUCAAUAACUGUAAAAUU